CCGCUGCUUCCUAUCCGCGACCCCCGUCGACUUGGUAGAGGUAGGUAGAGGUAGAGAUAGAGAAAGUAAAUCAUUAAAUCUUAUCUUUCUUACAUCCACCCCACCCCCUCCACCUUUUUCUCUUCUUCGUUCGUUCCUUCCUUUCUUUAGGGGUUGAGUUUUGAGGAAGGAAGUAGUCUAAACGAGGGGAGGGGUGGGUUUAGACAGACAGGGUUGAGGGUUGGGAUUGGUUUGGGGGUUGAGGUGAGGAAGUAGUGGGUUCUUCGUACCGCGGCCGCCGGCCAGCGCCGGCUCCUGCUCCUGCCCGGGCCCCUGCGCCGGCGCCGGCACCCGCGCCUGCUCGCCGGUUCUGGGGCGGCGGAGGGCGGCGUCUUGGGCGCGGCCUCCUCCGAGGGCUGCGGCGGCUCGUCCUCGUCCUCGUCCUCGUCCUCGUCCUAGUCCUCGUGCUUGUCCUCGUCCUCGUCGAGUGGGUGUUGUGGGUUCUACGGCGGCGGAGACGGAGACGGAGACGGAGACGAAAACGCCCCGCCCUCUGCUAACUCUAGAGACUGAGCUGUCUCCGUAGGGGAGUUGUGACGCGGAGGAGCGGUCUGUAUAUAUCGAGUUGGUGUCAGGUGGUCGUGUAGUUCCUCCUCCUCGGUUGGAGUUAGUGUCAGCUACUCGGCUCACUCCGGCUGCACGGCAGAGGAUGGUUACUACUACUCGUCGUCGUCUUUUACCUCCACCUCCGACCUCUCGGAGUACUAUACAACAACAGGCAUCUCGUUCUUCUUCGCGUUCCUUUAUUAUUGGUCCUCCUACGUCCCGGGCUACGCUUGUUCGUUCGCCAUGUCUCGUUUCUUCGUCUCCACUAUCUCGUCCUCCCACCUUUUCGGCUACUGCUACUACAUCGCCAUUUCUGACGACGUUGAGUACUACGUGUUUUAUUCGUUCUGUCGGUUGGAUUGGGUGAGGUGGUCCCUGUUUACGAACGACGUUGAGUACUACUAUUAAGUCUUUUAUUCGUGGGUGAGGUGGUUGUUGUCUACCUACGAGUCGUCCUUCUCCUCCUCCUCCUCCUAGGAGUUCUCCAGUAGAAGCUGCUGAGACAGAGGCACCCACUUCCCGUCCGGCGUAGACUCUAGUUCGUUCCUCUGCUGGAACGAUUCCGGUGCCUCCUGCUGCUGCUGCCCGUCCGACGUCGACUCUCGUUUGUCCUUCUCGUGGCACGAUCCCGCAGCCUCCUCGUGCCGGUCCGACGUCCACUCCAGUUUGUCGUUCUCCUGCUCGCGUUCCAAUACAGUCUGUACCGGUUCUUGUCCGUCGCGUUUUUCCUCGAUCUCUAGAAACACCCUCCCGACCUGGCACUUCGGCAGCUCCUCCUAUAAUCCUUCCACAAACGCGUGCAGCCAGUACAACACCUCCAGGCAGAGGUGUUCCUAGAGAGGUGGUUGUUCUUGUUCCCGAAACGCAAGCAGUCCAAACGUUUGUUUGUGGUCCACCGAGCGCGCGAACGACUCCACUUCUUAGGAUACUAUGUACCGUUUGCAACACGGUAACGGCGAUCGCUCCUGUUGCUGUGUGAGAAGAACCCGUUAUAAACGUUAUGUACCUGUUUCCUUCGAUAAUUCUUCUCCGACGAACUGAUACCUCAACUUCCUCAAGUUUCGAAUUGAGAACAAGGACUAUGAGUUUUGCUUCCGGUCUCGGCACCAAAACGUAAAGAGCUCAAAAGAACGGUGCGCCUACGCUACGAACGUAAGUUCUCCGACGUCGUUGGUCUACGAGACAAACCAGUAGGACUCUCUUGACGUUUUCAACGAAAACGUCUCGGUUAUUUUCUUCGUCUACGUCUUCAAUACCGAGUCCAGUUUAGUCAAAAAUAACUACCUGAAGGUGGUAUGACCCUACUUCUCGCACAAUUUUUGGCUAAGUUUCGAAUACCAAACUAUCUUGCUCAACACGAACGAGCGUUAUACAGAUCACGAUUUUCUUUGCUAAAACCUAAACAGUUGAAGAGUUGGGUACUCCUCCGAGAACGAACAUAACUUCGGUGGUUGUUGUGGCUCGACCCACUACAACCUUUUCGUUUCCGACACUUUCCACUUUACUCACCGCCCAAAGCUUAACCUGUAGGACCUAGACCAAAAUUGUCCGGACCAUCUCCAAAAUUAUCCCCUUCUCGACGGGGAGCGGCCCUUCCAAAGGUACCACUAUCCCCAAAGUUAUUAGUGUGAGGACAAGCACCACCCUCUAAAUUAAGACGUAUGUCAUUGUUGUCAAAACUUCGAAGCGGGAGACUAAAGGCUCGGUCCGUCCGAGGAGGACGGAAAGCUCCCCCAAGGAGUCCUUCCGUCGUACUAAACAAACUAUCUCCUGUCCCCUCUCCUAUAGUAGUAGGUGGAUCUCCCGGUUGUAAACUCGGGCUCCCACUAAAACCAUCUGGGAAACCACUUUUGGGUAUAGAGAUACUUCUACAAGCCGUACCACGAUUCUCCGGUAUAAGAGUGUACCUUGGGCCAGGAGGACCUAUGAAACUCGUACCACCAGGAGGAGCACACGCGGGAGCGAAACUGGUAAUGCUCGUCGGUGGUAAAGGACCUCCCUUGGCAAAACCAGUAAUACUGGUCGGUGGUAAAGGACCUCCACUGGCGGUGUCUCUGAGAAAACCCUGCUCCCCACCAAUAAGUGCACUAGUAGUGAUACCGGGACGAGGACCAGUACGGGUACGGGUACGGGGAGGGGGACGGGGUCGAGUUAUACCAUCCCCACGUAAGGUUGGUGUGGUAUCUCCGCCCGUAAGACCUCCGCCAAUAAUGGUGGUGAUCCACCAUAGUGUCAUACAGAGAACAGUCGACCACACCGAAAGAGAAUGACCAGAACAAACUAUAAACGUUACUAGUACGCCGUGAUUGUAGCCAAAUGUACGUCUGUAGUCCACCACGGCACACUGUGAUCACAAACCAAACCAUCACUGAUCACUCUUUGUAUAACGGCGAAUAAUCGAUGAUCAUGAGCGUUCAGUCAACCAACAAUCAAUAGAAAGUUUCAUGGCAAGCAACAGCGUCUGGUUAUUAAUUGACAGGAACAAUUUCCUGUACAAACCCCAGUACUUAGACAACACUCCUAUAACCACCUACUACAAUAUCUUGAUCUCCGUACUGUACCUGGCUGGAGAGACAUAAACUAAUCUAUUGUAAUACCUAAUACCUAAAAUCUGUCAAAUACACCGAAACGCCUCUUAACGGACUCUAACAACUACAACCAGAACUCCAGUUACCCCUAUACUCUGACAACAAACCAUUCUAUAAACUAAGAACAGAACCCCUAUAAACCACAUGUACAACACUAAUAUAUCACCUACCUACUACGUACGUCAUUGAUCGUAAGUGUACUCCGACGUCAAAUACCACAGUGUUAACAACCUCAACCAGUUCAUCUGAACAAAACAGCUCCAAGUAACCGACCGAUAAAAUCGUGAACCCAGGUUUAAACCAGUAUAAAUACUCCACGAGUAACCCCCUGUACUACUGUCUUAAAGUCGUACCUAGUUGUUCAACAAAACCACAAUAUAUUCUCUAACCAAGACCAACCAAGUUAAUACUCAACCUAAAACCCAACAACUACCAACGUAUGCCUUUGAAAAUCCGAAACCACAAAGACCAUGCGGUUCCUCAUCCUUAAAACCGGGGAUUGAACUAAAGGAACAGAACCAUUAAACGAUUGCACGCUUUUAAUGACCUCGUAGAAGUACUCCGUCCAUUCUACAAGCAGAUCUCCGCCGCACGACGUAAGAACCCCGCUACUUCCGUAAGAACCACAUACGUAUCGUCGUAAACUUCUACCUACAAAACAAACAUGUAAACUGGUGAGAACACAAAAAUCUAUGUAAGGGUCUACAAAAAAACAAAAAACUUUGAGGCACGUGUGUACAAAACUUACACUACUAUUAAUAUUAACG
rnacentral:rRNA from 1 species